rnacentral:tRNA from 1 species
GUCCCCGUAGUUCAACGGAUAGAACGGGGGUUUCCUAAACCCUAAAUGCAAGUUCGAUUCUUGCCGGGGACACAA